CAGUAGCCGCGGUAAUACGUAGGUGGCAAGCGUUGUCCGGAAUUAUUGGGCGUAAAGGGCUCGCAGGCGGUUUCUUAAGUCUGAUGUGAAAGCCCCCGUCUCAACCGGGGAGGGUCAUUGGAAACUGGGAAACUUGAGUGCAGAAGAGGAGAGUGGAAUUCCACGUGUAGCGGUGAAAUGCGUAGAGAUGUGGAGGAACACCAGUGGCGAAGGCGACUCUCUGGUCUGUAACUGACGCUGAGGAGCGAAAGCGUGGGGAGCGAACAGGAUUAGAUACCCCAGUAGUCCCUGUCUCUUAUAC
rnacentral:rRNA from 1 species